rnacentral:rRNA from 1 species
UUGGAGGGCAAGUCUGGUGCCAGCAGCCGCGGUAAUUCCAGCUCCAAUAGCGUAUAUUAAAGUUGUUGCAGUUAAAAAGCUCGUAGUUGAACCUCGGGGUCUACCCAUUGGUCAGGCUUAAUUGUCUGCACUGGUGAGAUGGAUCUCUACCUUCUGAGGAACUUUCACGCCAUUUAUUUGGUGUGAUGGGAAAUCAGGACUGUUACUUUGAAAAAAUUAGAGUGUUUAAAGCAGACUAUCGUCUGAAUACAUUAGCAUGGAAUAAUGAAAUAGGACGGACUGAUUCUAUUUCGUUGGUUUCUAGGAUCACCGUAAUGAUUAAUAGGGAUAGUUGGGGGCAUUAGUAUUCAAUUGUCAGAGGUGAAAUUCUUGGAUUUAUUGAAGACUAACUACUGCGAAAGCAUUUGCCAAGGAUGUUUUCAUUAAUCAAGAACGAAAGUUAGGGGAUCGAAGACGAUCAGAUACCGUCGUAGUCUUAACCAUGAACUAUGCCGACUAGGGAUCGGACGAAGUUAAUUUUAUAAUGACGCGUUCGGCACCUUACGGGAAACCAAAGUGUUUGGGUUC